AAUGUUUCUUGCUCAAAUGAGUAUUCCAAGAUCACCAAGCAUUGACGCAUUUCAAAACGUAAAUGAGAUGCUGGUGUUGGUGAUCGCGAGAUGCUCAUUUGGGCAACCA
rnacentral:pre_miRNA from 1 species